rnacentral:rRNA from 1 species
GAUGAACGCUGGCGGCGUGCCUAAUACAUGCAAGUCGAGCGAACAGACGAGGAGCUUGCUCCUCUGACGUUAGCGGCGGACGGGUGAGUAACACGUGGAUAACCUACCUAUAAGACUGGGAUAACUUCGGGAAACCGGAGCUAAUACCGGAUAAUAUAUUGAACCGCAUGGUUCAAUAGUGAAAGACGGUUUUGCUGUCACUUAUAGAUGGAUCCGCGCCGCAUUAGCUAGUUGGUAAGGUAACAGCUUACCAAGGCAACGAUGCGUAGCCGACCUGAGAGGGUGAUCGGCCACACUGGAACUGAGACACGGUCCAGACUCCUACGGGAGGCAGCAGUAGGGAAUCUUCCGCAAUGGGCGAAAGCCUGACGGAGCAACGCCGCGUGAGUGAUGAAGGUCUUCGGAUCGUAAAACUCUGUUAUUAGGGAAGAACAAAUGUGUAAGUAACUAUGCACGUCUUGACGGUACCUAAUCAGAAAGCCACGGCUAACUA